rnacentral:misc_RNA from 1 species
AAAAAAAAAAGAAAAAAAGAAGAAAAAAAAAUUGAGGGGGAGAGGGGGAGGAAGAAAAAGCAAAAUGCCAUGAGUUGCAUUGAUUCAUAUUUUCUUAAAUUCACAUUUUUUAAUUAUUUUACAACAUUGGCCACUCACAUUAUAUCUAAAUCCUCAUAGAGCAUGAAUUUUGAAUAUCUUCAUCAGAAAAUCUAUCAGAAUUACAUAGUGAUAUCAUAAAUCAUUUCAAAUUCUAGUGUUCUAACUCUAAAAAAUAUUGACUAAAUUUCACUAAACAAGAAACAGACCUACAAAAUAUUAAUCCUUAGCAAUUCGGUAAUUUAAGAAUUGCACCCGAAAUUAUAACCCUCAUGUUCUUCUUCAAGCAGAAGGAAAGCUACAAAUGCACAAAUAUCAAACAAAAGCACUAAGUAACUGCACACA